GCGUCAGUGGUUUAGUGGUAAAAUCCAUCGUUGCCAUUCUGAUAUAACAACCAGAAUUCGAUGGGCCCCGCGUUCAAUUUCAAUUCGCGGCUGACGCA